rnacentral:rRNA from 1 species
GACGAACGCUGGCGGCGUGCUUAACACAUGCAAGUCGAGCGGAAAGGCCCUUUCGGGGGUACUCGAGCGGCGAACGGGUGAGUAACACGUGAGUAAUCUGCCCAUGGCUCUGGGAUAGCCACCGGAAACGGUGAUUAAUACCGGAUAUGACGCCCUGUCGCAUGGCGGGGUGUGGCACGUUUUUCGGCCAUGGAUGUGCUCGCGGCCUUUCAGCUUGUUGGUGGGGUAAUGGCCUACCAAGGCUUUGACGGGUAGCCGGCCUGCGAGGGUGACCGGGCACACUGGGACUGAGACACGGCCCAGACUCCUACGGGAGGCAGCAGUGGGGAAUAUUGGACAAUGGGCGGAAGCCUGAUCCAGCCACGCCGCGUGAGGGAUGACGGCCUUCGGGUUGUAAACCUCUUUCAGUACCGCCGACGCGCAAGUGACGGUAGGUACAGAAGAAGGACCGGCCAACUACGUGCCAGCCGCCGCAGUAACAC